GGCUCGGUGGCAGAAGGUCUGCAUCUGUAACAUGCAUAUGUUCAGCAUAGAAAUGAUGUGUAUUUCAACAGAACUCAAUGCUCGUUCGAAUCGAGCCCGAGCCA